rnacentral:lncRNA from 1 species
AAGGUAACUUUUCCAAAAAACACCAAAAAGUACAGUGUAAAGCAUCUCCUCAUUAAAUACAAACGUUCAUUUUGUGAUGCACUGCAUCAAUGUUUUUUACACACCUUGAUGCAAAGGGAAAUUUAAGUUGCAUCUUGACUCAAGAAUUAUAAUUUGGCUGUAACAAAGGCAAGAUUUUAUAUUUAAAAAGAAAAUGAAAUUACAGAUGCAUGAAGAGCAAAAGUUUAAUAUACCAAAGACAU